rnacentral:rRNA from 1 species
UACGGAGGAUGCGAGCGUUAUCCGGAUUUAUUGGGUUUAAAGGGUGCGUAGGCGGAUUUUUAAGUCAGCGGUAAAAUGUCCGGGCUCAACCCGGGCCGGCCGUUGAAACUGGCUGGCUUGAGUUGGGGAAAGGCAGGCGGAAUGCGCGGUGUAGCGGUGAAAUGCAUAGAUAUCGCGCAGAACCCCGAUUGCGAAGGCAGCUUACCAGACUGUUACUGACGCUGAAGCACGAGAGCGUGGGUAGCGAACAGG